CAGGGGCAGCUGUCAUUCAUUCCAAGACUUCUCCAUCCUUCUGGACUGGCAAAGCAAAGUUCUUCUUGUAUUCGCUGCCGGUGAUGGAUUACAUGAGGUCCCCUGAGCUUAUUCUGGAGCCAGACAAUCAUCCUGGAAACUGCUGGCCCUUCCCAGGAAGUCAGGGACACGUGUUCAUCAAGCUGUCCAUGCCAGUCAUUCCCAGAGCCAUCACCAUGGCCCAUGUCUCAGGGACAGCAUUCCAUGGAGAAAGCAUCUCUGGAGCUCCCAAGGACUUUGCUG